GGCGUAAGCGAGCGCAGGCGGUUUCUUAAGUCUGAUGUGAAAGCCCCCGGCUCAACCGGGGAGGGUCAUUGGAAACUGGGAGACUUGAGUGCAGAAGAGGAGAGUGGAAUUCCAUGUGUAGCGGUGAAAUGCGUAGAUAUAUGGAGGAACACCAGUGGCGAAGGCGGCUCUCUGGUCUGUAACUGACGCUGAGGCUCGAAAGCGUGGGGAGCAAACAGGAUUAG
rnacentral:rRNA from 2 species